rnacentral:rRNA from 1 species
GACAGAGGGUGCGAACGUUGCUCGGAAUUACUGGGCGUAAAGCGCGUGUAGGCGGACUAGUAAGUCGGACGUGAAAUCCCUCGGCUCAACCGAGGAACUGCGUCCGAUACUGGUGGGCUUGAAUCCGGGAGAGGGAUGUGGAAUUCCAGGUGUAGCGGUGAAAUGCGUAGAUAUCUGGAGGAACACCGGUGGCGAAGGCGGCAUCCUGGACCGGUAUUGACGCUGAGGCGCGAAAGCUAGGGGAGCAAACGGG